rnacentral:lncRNA from 13 species
CAGAGUUCGCCGCACAUGCUGGAUCUAGGUCCAGGUCUGCACCCAGCCUGAGUGACCGAUGGCGGCCAGGGGCGAGAGGUAUUCUCCAGGAAUCAGGAACAGACUAAAUGGAAACUCAGCGGUACCCAGCAACCCAUGAUGGCGAGCUUGGCACUCCCCACGACUCCAAAGGGUGUGCCCCAGAUGAUUCAAUGAACGUUGAAAGAACUGCACCUCGAGGGAGAGGUCUUGUGAGUUCAGCCCUGGCCAGGCACCAACUGCAACCCGACAAUUGCUGGGGAGAUCACACUGGUCUCCAGGGCUGAGCUCAAGCAAUCCUCCAGCCUCAGCCUCCCAAAAUGGUCUUAAACUCCAGAGACUGGGGAGCUGCCACGGACUGGAGGACCCCCGAGAGGCACAAUGCUGGCCCUGUGAGACCUUGGGCACAAGAAUGGAUGUCACUGGGCUCACAGCGACAUUAGGAUGAAGCCGAGGUGAGUUCAUAGUAUCACAUCACGGGAAUUUCCUGCUGUGGAUUGUUUGGUCAUGUCAGGUGUUAAUGUCAGGGGGAGUGGCGGGGAAGGCAUAUGAG